rnacentral:rRNA from 1 species
GACGAACGCUGGCGGCGUGCUUAACACAUGCAAGUCGAGCGGUAAGGCCCUUUCGGGGGUACACGAGCGGCGAACGGGUGAGUAACACGUGGGUGACCUGCCCUCAGCUCUGGGAUAAGCCUGGGAAACCGGGUCUAAUACUGGAUAUGACUCCAUGACGCAUGUUGUGGGGUGGAAAGCCUUGUGCGGCUGAGGAUGGGCCCGCGGCCUAUCAGCUUGUUGGUGGGGUGANGGCCUACCAAGGCGACGAUCCGUAGCUGGUCUGAGAGGAUGAUCAGCCACACUGGGACUGAGACACGGCCCAGACUCCUACGGGAGGCAGCAGUGGGGAAUAUUGGACAAUGGGCGCAAGCCUGAUCCAGCCAUGCCGCGUGAGUGACGAAGGUCUUCGGAUUGUAAAGCUCUUUUGGCGGGGACGAUAAUGACGGUA